GACGAACGCUGGCGGCGUGCUUAACACAUGCGAGUCGAACGGAAAGGCCCUGCUUUUGUGGGGUGCUCGAGUGGCGAACGGGUGAGUAACACGUGAGUAACCUGCCCUUGACUUUGGGAUAACUUCAGGAAACUGGGGCUAAUACCGGAUAGGAGCUCCUGCUGCAUGGUGGGGAUUGGAAAGUUUCGGCGGUUGGGGAUGGACUCGCGGCUUAUCAGCUUGUUGGUGGGGUAGUGGCUUACCAAGGCUUUGCCGGGUAGCCGGCCUGAGAGGGUGACCGGCCACAUUGGGACUGAGAUACGGCCCAGACUCCUACGGGAGGCAGCAGUGGGGAAUAUUGCACAAUGGGCGGAAGCCUGAUGCAGCAACGCCGCGUGCGGGAUGACGGCCUUCGGGUUGUAAACCGCUUUCGCCUGUGACGAAGCGUGAGUGACGGUAAUGGGUAAAGAAGCACCGGCUAACUACGUG
rnacentral:rRNA from 1 species